rnacentral:rRNA from 1 species
AUGCAGUUCUUCUGUAUAGUAUCAUUACUGUUGACUCAUUUGCUGAAUCUCUGUUUACAGGCUAAUAUGGAUUCAGAGCCCUCAUCGCAGAACCCAACAGACAUGACGGCAUUUGUGCAAAACCUCCUCGGUCAGAUGCAAACAAGGUUUGAGUCUAUGUCCCAGAACAUCGUGUCAAAGAUAGAUGAAAUGGGAACCAAGAUCGAUGAGCUGGAGCAGAGCGUCAACGAUCUCAAAGCUGAGAUGGGCACCACCGACGUACCUGUCAAGAAGCCCGACGAGGCAAAGCCUGCCGACUCCGCAUAA